AGGCAAGUCCUAACGGCUCACAAAGUUUCCCAAUCAGGAAAAUGGCAAGUCAGAACCGAGCAGAAGUCCUGUUUACGAAGUGUCCUGCACAGUGUGGGCAUGGAACAGGUAGUGGAUAAAGGUCCCCUCCACACCAGCCCUGCCCCGGACAAGCUCUGAGAAAAAAGAAAACAGCCCCCAUGUUGUGAGCUAUGCUAUGGAGAGGCCCGCGUGGGGAAGAGGCUGGUGAGGAAUCCUGAGUCAGAGGCACCAAGGGGCACCCAGCUAAGGUGUGCCAGAUUCCUGACCAAUAGGCACGCCACAGAUCACGAAGAAGUGUAAGUGGUGGCAGUCUGAGGCCUGCCAGCAGCCAUCAAUGUCAAGGAGCCAGCUUGGAAACAGACCAUUCAGCCCCGGUCAGGCCUUCAACUGAUUGCAACCCUGGCUGACAUCUUGACUGCAAAAUCAUGAGCAACCUGGAGCCAGAAGCACCGAUUCAAGCUUCCUCUGAAUUCCU